rnacentral:rRNA from 1 species
UACAGAGGAGCCAAGCGUUGUCCGGAUUGACUGGGCGUAAAGCGCACGCAGGCGGUUUCGCGCGUGGGGUGUGAAAUCUGGCCGCUUAACGGCCAGGCGCCAUCCCAUACGGCACAACUGGAGGGCUGCAGAGGUCGAUGGAAUUGCCGGUGUAGUGGUGAAAUGCGUAGAGAUCGGCAGGAACACCCAGGGGGAAACCAGUCGACUGGGCAGCACCUGACGCUGAGGUGCGAGAGCGUGGGGAGCGAACCGG